rnacentral:lncRNA from 1 species
CUUCUUAAUAUCAUACCCCAUUUUUUCCAAAUUAGGUUGCACAGCAAAUUGAAUCAUAGGUGGUGGCCCACAAGCCAAUGCCAAAGUAUCCUCACCAGCCAAUGGAACAUGCUCCCUCAUGAUACUCUCCGUGAUGAAUCCCACACUAUAUUCCCACCCUUCUUUUGCAUUUUCCACAACAUACCAAAUCUUGAACCUAUCACUAUAAAUCUUUGCCCACUCAUCCAACUCUUCCCUCAACAAUAUAUCAUCCUCCGUCCGGUUUGCAUAAACAACAUACAUUUCAGUUUGAUCAUUGGCAUCCUUCAAAAUCGAGUUCGCCACUUGAUAAACCGGUGUGAUUCCGGUCCCACCGGCUAAAAAUGUUAGUUUCUUUGCAAAUCUUUGUUUCCCAUGGACCGAAAAAUUUCCUCUACCGAGAUACUCAAUGUGUCCCACGGGGCCUUUUACUUCCAAUGUCGAGCCAAUAGUGAGGGAGUCCAAAUAUUGAGACAUGAUUCCACCAUUAGGAAACCUAGGGUGCACGUUUUUGAAGUAAACUUUGACAACCAAUUCAAAAUACCCAAUUUCAUCGACGCUACUUGUUGGCGUAUAAGCUCGCAUGACCAAUUUUCCAUCGACGGUAACACAUAGGAAAAUGUGUUUACCAACGGGUAGUCCCAGUAAUUGGUCUUCAGAGGGUAAUGCAAAUCGGAAGAGUCUUACAUCAUGUGAAAUUGAGGUUUUUGCAAUGAGCUUGCAUGGGAUUUUCUCACGUGGGUUAAGAGCCAUGAUUUCCUUAAUAGGAGCAAGAUGAGUAAAUUCAGAAUUUCCAUGCAUGGAGUUAUUUGGUGACGAUGAAUCGGAGGUGUAGCCAGUGGCAACAAGUUCUCCGAUUCUAUAAUCUUCGAGCAAUUUCUUCGCUUUAUCGGAGUGGAUAGCUUCGAAUUCAUCGGUACAAUCAGUGCCGGCAUUGAUCAAGAUACUGUCUGAGCCACCGGGGUGGUCUUUAAGGAAGCGGGUGCAGUCGUAGACAUUGCCGUGGACGAUGAUCCAAGCAGAAUCAAGGGUUUUGUGUUUUUUAACUUCAGAAAGGGAGUAUGUUUUUGAAGAAGUGUUCAUGAAUGGAGUAGAGAUACUUUUCUUGAGAAUUGGUUUGGUUUCUUGUGAUCUUUCUAAGUGUCUUUCCUUUGCCAUCCAACCACCUGAUUGGUUACCUGGUUGUGUUGGAUGUUCAAACACUAUGCCAAUUUCUCCUUUGUGGGGCCUACACACGUUUGUUUUUACCCUGAACCAACAGUUAUUCAUCAUGCCCUGUAAAUUGCAAACACCAAAAGUAUUUCAUUAGAUUCCAUUCAAAUUCAAGAAAUAAUAUUGAGAACAGUGUGUAGUUCUUGAAAUAUCUAGCUCUAUUAUUUUUAAUUGAAGUGACUAUAAAUCAAUUAUUUUGUGUUUACUUUAGCCAAGUCAUUUCAUGGGAGUUAAGCCACAUAUUCAUAA